rnacentral:rRNA from 1 species
UGGGGAAUCUUGGACAAUGGGGGCAACCCUGAUCCAGCCAUGCCGCGUGAGUGAUGAAGGCCUUAGGGUCGUAAACUCCUGUCAGUAGGGACGAAAAAGUAGGGUCGAACAGGCCCUGCCAUUGACGGUACCUGCAGAGGAAGCCCCGGCUAACUCCGUGCCAGCAGCCGCGGUAAUACGGAGGGGGUUAGCGUUGUUCGGAAUUACUGGGCGUAAAGGGCGUGUAGGCGGUCUAAUCAGUCAGUGGUGAAAGCCCUGGGCUCAACCCAGGAAUUGCCUUUGAUACUGUUAGACUAGAGUUCGGGAGAGGAUAGUGGAAUUCCCAGUGUAGAGGUGAAAUUCGUAGAUAUUGGGAAGAACACCAGUGGCGAAGGCGGCUAUCUGGACCGAUACUGACGCUGAGGCGCGAAAGCGUGGGGAAGCAAACAGGAUUAGAUACCCUGGUAGUCCACACCGUAAACGAUGAAUGCCAGUCGUCGGGUAGCAUGCUAUUCGGUGACACACCUAACGGAUUAAGCAUUCCGCCUGGGGAGUACGGUCGCAAGAUU